UACAGAGGGGGCAAGCGUUGUUCGGAAUUACUGGGCGUAAAGGGCGCGUAGGCGGCCUGUUAAGUCGAACGUGAAAUCCCCGGGCUCAACCCGGGAACUGCGUCCGAUACUGGCAGGCUUGAAUCCGGGAGAGGGAUGUGGAAUUCCAGGUGUAGCGGUGAAAUGCGUAGAUAUCUGGAGGAACACCGGUGGCGGAAGGCGGCGAUCCUGGACCGGUAUUGACGCUGAGGCGCGAAAGCCAGGGGAGCAAACGGGG
rnacentral:rRNA from 1 species